rnacentral:lncRNA from 1 species
ACGUUUUUGUUUUAUUAAUAUUCAAUGUUGAUACAUUCGUCUUAAUGUACUAGUUUCAUUGACCAUUUCUGUCAUUUUCGCCUUCUCCCACGACAUGUUAUUAUACAUUUUGGAAUACUUCCUCCUUGUGGACAGACUGCGCCACUAUCGGAUGGACAGAAAGAUGGAACUUUACAAGCAGCGGGAGGUAUUUCUUUUGGGAAUUCUGGUUGAUCUGAAAUUGUUUUACAAACGUUAAACAUAUAAACAACCAUACUUGUAUUCGUUAGGAUUCGUAAUUCGAAACUCGGGUUUUUUUUGCAGCUGUUACAAAUAUAACACGUAAACCAUAUAAAACUUUCAAAUGAGUUCAGCUUGAAUAAG